rnacentral:tRNA from 1 species
UCGACUUUGGCCCGCAAGCGUCGGACCGCCACUUCCACCAUGUUGGUGUCGCUGUCGAAAUUCAGGUUCCACACCUGAGAGGCGAUC